UUACAGAAAAGACACGUCUCCUUUCCCUCUCCUGCUCUCACUCCCGUGCUCUCCCUCCGCCGCCGCCGUCUCCUCUCCCAGCGCCGGCCACAACAUCUCUCCCUUAUCCUGCUCUCUCGCCUGCGCCGCAGCCCAUACUGCCCAGCCACUGCCAUCCACCGUCGCCGUCCUCUACCUCCGUCAGCUCGUCCAUGUGAGCUAAACUCAAACAUACAAAAAGUCAACAUUGUCAUGCUAAGAGUUGGAGCCAACCAAGUGCCAUCUAUCAAUUUUCUAGAAGCAUGAAGUAAGAAGACAAUUUCAUUUUGAAUUUAUGUUGUAAUAGUCACCGUAAGUUUCUUGAAAAGAGGAACAAAACCUCAUCUUUUGUUUUGCUACUUAAGUCGGUCAAGGUGAGGGAACCGACAUAGUUAGUCUAUAAAUAUGUAUUGCCUAUAGACAUUUUAGAAUGUAUUAGAAAAGAGAUUAAGCUUUCAAUAUAUAUAAGUCCUCCACUACUUUUGUGAAUUCUCUCUCCUCGUAUUGUAAUCUAUUAGAAAUACCAUCUCCUUUUAUUUUAACAGUCCAGCCGUGAAGGAUGUCUCAAAGACCAAGUAGAAGAGCACCUAUCAUAUCUAAGCCUAUGGACACGCAACAAGAGCAAUAUCAACAUGAUUCUAAAUGACCAAGAUUUAGAAGAUGUGUCAAUAUUAAAGGAUAUGGAAAUGGAAGAGAACAAUGUAGAUGUUGGUGUUGAUCAAUCACAUAAAAAGAAAAAAAAAAUUGAGAUAAAGAAGGAGACAAGAUCUGUUCAUUGGAAGGAUUAUGAUAGAGUGAAGGUUAUGGCAGGCGAUCCUCCUAUUGAGGUGGUGAAAGGAAAGUGCAAACGAUGUGACGUUCUAACUGCAGCUGACCCGCGCUGGUUUGGAACUAAUGGUUUAAAAAACCAAACCUUUGCCUAUUUGAAGAAGAAGACACAAGAGGAAGGCCGCAAUAAAGGACAAACUAUGUCGAAGAUGCAAAUGGUGGCAAUUCAUCUUUGACUAGUUGGAAGUUUGACCAAAAGGUGGGUAGACUUUCACUUUGCGAGAUGAUCAUCCUCGACGAGCGACCAUUCAGGAUGGUGGAGUACCGUGGAUUUAAGAAGAUUAUGUCAAACUAAUUGUCCACAACUAGAACUUCCUUCAAGACAAACAAUAAGAACUAAUUGUGUGAAGUUGUUCUUUGAAUUUCAAGAGAUAUGGCAUGGGUAGAGUUUCUAUCACCAGUGACUGUUGGACGGGUGCGAAUAACUCAAAUUACAUUUGUGUUACUGCACACUUUUAUUGACAAGGAGUGGAGAUUGCAUAAGAGGAUAAUCAGUUUUGCCUUGAUUAAAAGUCAUAAGGGAGCAGACAUUGGUGAAUUUAUAAUCACAACGCUGAAGGAGUGGGGAUUGACAUCUCUCUUGUGUUGCACUAUGGACAAUGCAAUUCCAAAUUGAUUCGAAGAAGGCAUUAUGCUUGGAUGUCCCCACUCGUUGGAACUCUACUUACUUGAUGCUUUAGUCUGCCAUACCUUAUGAAGAUGCAUUUCAACUUUACAAUAAGAUGAGCCAAAAAAAGCACAAUGAAUUCAUUGGAUUGCUUGAAAAACAUGAUUGGAUAUGCGUGAAGAAAAUGAUAGAAUACUUACUGAAGUUCUACGAGUUGACUGUCCUCAUGUCUGGCACCAAUAUCCAACUUCACACAUUUUUUUUGCUGAAAUGUUUGAUAUUUUUGAUAUCAUCUCAACAUUGGUGAUAAGUGAAGAUCAUGAAAUAAGAUAGAUGGCCAUGAAGAUGAGGGCAAAGAUUGGAAAAUAUUGGGAGGAGGAUAUGGAAUUACAUCCAUGGAUGAACAGAAUUUUAUACAUUGCUGUCGUGCUUGAUCCGAGACAAAAGAUGAGUCACGUAGAGACAUGCUUUAAGUCAAUCUAUGGAGAUACACGAGGGGAAAUCAUGGUCAGAGAUGUUACAUACUCAUUGAUUGAGAUGUUUGACUAUUAUGUGGCAAGAGAGAGGCUCGGAGACCGCCUCAGCAGCAAAGAGAUGGUGACGAUGAGGAUGAAAAUCAAGGGCGAUAUGUUUUCUAAGGAACAUGUAGACUCGUGGUCUUAAGAGGGAAGCGGCAGACCAACAAGUUUAAUGAGCUCGUUGUUUAUCUUACUGAAAACACUCACAUCGAGGAGAACGAUGACGUGAACCACUUUGAUAUCUUGAAGUGGUGGUCAGAGAAUUCGUUAUCCCGUUCUAAUUAAGAUGGCAAGGGAUAUUUUGGCUAUUCCUAUUUCUAGUGUUGCAUCUGAAUGUGCAUUUAGAUUGGGAGGUCGUAUUCCAAUCCAUAUAGAAGCUCAUUAGCUCCUUGUAUGGUCGAGGCUUUAGUUUUUGUUUCAGAUUGGUCGAAGAGUAUUGACUUGGAAAAGAAAUAUAAUGAAGACAUGUUUGAAGAAUUAGGCAAAACGGACUUGAAGAGUAUCAAAGUAGUAAAUUAUAUUCAUUCAAUUUAUUUAUUUAUACAUUAUACAUUAUACUUAUUUGACCUUCUUUUAUUGUUUAUCCAUGUAGUAUUAUAGCCACCGUUGGAGUUCGAGAUGAUGGUCCACUUUGCCAUAAUAAAGAUGGUUAGAUGGAGAAAGAUGGAUUUUUUUGUGGACUUUUGAUAUUAUCAAUUUUGAAUCUUUGAUGGUUAUUGUAGAUGGACGUUAUUAUUAGAUCUUAUGAAUUGUGAUGGUUAUUGUCUUAUUGAACUUAUGAAUCAUUGAAUUGUGAUGUUUGUUACAGACGGAAGUUUGAACU